GAUGAACGCUGGCGGCGUGCCUAAUACAUGCAGGUCGAGCGAACAGACGAGGAGCUUGCUCCUCUGACGUUAGCGGCGGACGGGUGAGUAACACGUGGAUAACCUACCUAUAAGACUGGGAUAACUUCGGGAAACCGGAGCUAAUACCGGAUAAUAUAUUGAACCGCAUGGUUCAAUAGUGAAAGACGGUUUUGCUGUCACUUAUAGAUGGAUCCGCGCCGCAUUAGCUAGUUGGUAAGGUAACGGCUUACCAAGGCAACGAUGCGUAGCCGACCUGAGAGGGUGAUCGGCCACACUGGAACUGAGACACGGUCCAGACUCCUACGGGAGGCAGCAGUAGGGAAUCUUCCGCAAUGGGCGAAAGCCUGACGGGGCAACGCCGCGUGAGUGAUGAAGGUCUUCGGAUCGUAAAACUCUGUUAUUAGGGAAGAACAAAUGUGUAAGUAACUAUGCACGUCUUGACGGUACCUAAUCAGAAAGCCACGGCUAACUACGUG
rnacentral:rRNA from 1 species